rnacentral:rRNA from 1 species
AGUGAACGCUGGCGGUAGGCCUAACACAUGCAAGUCGAACGGCAGCACAGUAAGAGCUUGCUCUUACGGGUGGCGAGUGGCGGACGGGUGAGGAAUACAUCGGAAUCUACUUUUUCGUGGGGGAUAACGUAGGGAAACUUACGCUAAUACCGCAUACGACCUACGGGUGAAAGCAGGGGAUCUUCGGACCUUGCGCGAUUGAAUGAGCCGAUGUCGGAUUAGCUAGUUGGCGGGGUAAAGGCCCACCAAGGCGACGAUCCGUAGCUGGUCUGAGAGGAUGAUCAGCCACACUGGAACUGAGACACGGUCCAGACUCCUACGGAGGGCAGCGGUGGGGAAUAUUGGACAAUGGGCGCAAGCCUGAUCCAGCCAUACCGCGUGGGUGAAGAAGGCCUUCGGGUGGUAAAGCCCUUUUGUUGGGAAAGAAAAGCAGCAGGUUAAUACCCCGCUGUUCUGACGGUACCCAAAGAAUAAGCACCGGCUAACUUCGU